UACGGGGGGGGCAAGCGUUGUUCGGAAUUACUGGGCGUAAAGAGCUCGUAGGUGGCCAACUAAGUCAGACGUGAAAUCCCUCGGCUUAACCGGGGAACUGCGUCUGAUACUGGAUGGCUUGAGUUUGGGAGAGGGACGCGGAAUUCCAGGUGUAGCGGUGAAAUGCGUAGAUAUCUGGAGGAACACCGGUGGCGAAGGCGGCGUCCUGGACCAACACUGACACUGAGGAGCGAAAGCCAGGGGAGCAAACGGG
rnacentral:rRNA from 1 species